rfam:Dictyostelium discoideum AX4 chromosome 6, whole genome shotgun sequence.
GCUCUAUUAACUCAGUCGGUAGAGUGAAGUACUUAUAUAUCAGUAUGAUAAAGCAAUGCUUUGGUCGCGAGUUCGAUCCUCGCAUGGAGCA